UACAUGGGGUGCAAACGUUGCUCGGAAUUAUUGGGCGUAAAGGGCUCGUAGGCGGUCUGUCACGUCGGGAGUGAAAACUCGGGGCUUAACCCCGAGCCUGCUUCCGAUACGGGCAGACUAGAGGUAUGCAGGGGAGAAUGGAAUUCCUGGUGUAGCGGUGAAAUGCGCAGAUAUCAGGAGGAACACCGGUGGCGAAGGCGGUUCUCUGGGCAUUACCUGACGCUGAGGAGCGAAAGCCAGGGGAGCAAACGGG
rnacentral:rRNA from 1 species